GACGAACGCUGGCGGCGUGCUUAACACAUGCAAGUCGAACGGAAAGGCCCUGCUUUUGUUGGGUGCUCGAGUGGCGAACGGGUGAGUAACACGUGAGUAACCUGCCCUUGACUUUGGGAUAACUUCAGGAAACUGGGGCUAAUACCGGAUAGGAGCUCCUGCUGUAUGGUGGGGGUUGGAAAGUUUCGGCGGUUGGGGAUGGACUCGCGGCUUAUCAGCUUGUUGGUGGGGUAGUGGCUUACCAAGGCUUUGACGGGUAGCCUGCCUGAGAGGGUGACCGGCCACAUUGGGACUGAGAGACGGCGCAGACUCGUACGUGAGGCAGCAGGGGGGAAUAUUGCACAAUGAGCGCAAGCGUGAUGCAGCAACGCCGCGUGCGGGAUGACGGCUUUCGGGUUGUAAACCGCUUUGGCCUGAGACGAAGCGUGAGUGACGGUAAUGGGUAAAGAAGCACCGGCUAACUACGUG
rnacentral:rRNA from 1 species